rnacentral:rRNA from 1 species
GACGAACGCUGGCGGCGUGCUUAACACAUGCAAGUCGAACGGAAAGGCCCUGCUUGCAGGGUACUCGAGUGGCGAACGGGUGAGUAACACGUGGGUGAUCUGCCCUGCACUUCGGGAUAAGCCUGGGAAACUGGGUCUAAUACCGGAUAGGAGCCAUUUUUAGUGUGAUGGUUGGAAAGUUUUUUCGGUGUAGGAUGAGCUCGCGGCCUAUCAGCUUGUUGGUGGGGUAAUGGCCUACCAAGGCGGCGACGGGUAGCCGGCCUGAGAGGGUGGACGGCCACAUUGGGACUGAGAUACGGCCCAGACUGCUACGGGAGGCAGCAGUGGGGAAUAUUGCACAAUGGGCGCAAGCCUGAUGCAGCGACGCCGCGUGGGGGAUGACGGCCUUCGGGUUGUAAACUCCUUUCGCUAGGGACGAAGCUUUUUGUGACGGUACCUAGAUAAGAAGCACCGGCUAACUACGUG